UUGAAGUUUGUUGCGUGCCGUCCUUUGAUUGGUCCGGACCCACCGGGUGAUCGAUUUAUUGAUGGCAGCAGCUUUUCUAAGAAUAUGGGCAGAGGUCUUCCCAGCUACGCUAAUGCCGUGUCCCUUUGGAACCACUCACCAGACGGAGCUGCCCUUUGAGGCUCUUGACCAUGGCGCUGUAGGAAUCAGCCAGGGCCUUCAGGUAGAACAUGAUGAUGCUUGGAGGGGCGAAGUCAAAAGAAAAGGCAGGGGACAGGAAACAGAGAGGAAAAGCCACUAGUUUGGCACAAAGGAGCUGUGACAGGCCAACAUCAGACAUACGAUGCCUCCAAGAUGGAGAACACCUGCACAACUUGGAAACGUCCUGAGCAAGUUCCACUGUAGGAUGGGGAGAGGGCUGAGAGAAGGUGAUAUACUUACACAAAAAUGCUGUAUAGGGUAGAAACAAAAGAAAUCCCCAGACCAAUGAGCAAAACCAGAAGAAAGAAGAAAUUGGAGCUGGAGGCACGGAAUGUCUUUUCAGCUGGGCGGCAGUUGCUGAAGAGGGAUAGCUAGGAUGACAAGAGGAGAAAAACCCAUGAGCUCAAGAGACAUAGCCCUGGUCUUUCCUGCUGUAACCUAUCUGCCAUUCUCUUCCCAAAACACCCUGGCAGUUUUAACACUGCUUUAUUAGGCUCUCAUAGUCCCUUUUGCCCUCAAUCUUGCCUCACCUUGCCAUUCCAAGAAAGAGACAGAAGAAGUGGUCGGACGAUGUGGGGCGAUUACAGGUGGAAGGCUGGACCCCCACCCUGAAAUUCCAUGAAUGAGGCAGGGCAAAGGCACAGCUGGAGCCUUGCCUGGAAGCCCCCAGAACCCCUCUUUGGGAAGUCUUCGCUUUCAGAGCCAUCUCCCUUCCUGGAUCACCUUUUUCAGAUAGAAGAUGGCAAUGAACUUGAAGGUGUUGAGCACAGGCAGCAGAGGGCAGAAAAGAGCUCCAGU